rnacentral:rRNA from 1 species
UGGGGAAUUUUGGACAAUGGGCGCAAGCCUGAUCCAGCCAUGCCGCGUGUGGGAAGAAGGCCUUCGGGUUGUAAACCACUUUUGUCAGGGAAGAAACGGUGGGAGCUAAUAUCUCCUACUAAUGACGGUACCUGAAGAAUAAGCACCGGCUAACUACGUGCCAGCAGCCGCGGUAAUACGUAGGGUGCAAGCGUUAAUCGGAAUUACUGGGCGUAAAGCGUGCGCAGGCGGUUUUGUAAGUCUGUCGUGAAAGCCCCGGGCUCAACCUGGGAAUUGCGAUGGAGACUGCAAGGCUUGAAUCUGGCAGAGGGGGGUAGAAUUCCACGUGUAGCAGUGAAAUGCGUAGAGAUGUGGAGGAACACCGAUGGCGAAGGCAGCCCCCUGGGUCAAGAUUGACGCUCAUGCACGAAAGCGUGGGGAGCAAACGGGAUUAGAUACCCAUGUAGUCCCUGAGCGGGCUGGCAAGGCGCAU